rnacentral:rRNA from 1 species
AUUGAACGCUGGCGGCAGGCCUAACACAUGCAAGUCGAGCGAGCGGCGGACGGGUGAGUAAUGUAGGGGGACUGCCCGAUAGAGGGGGCUAACUACUGGAAACGGUGGCUAAUACCGCAUACUAUCGGAUAACCCAUAUGGGAUGAGCUCGUAGGUAAGGUAAUGGCUUACCUAGGCGACGAUCCCUAGCUGGUCUGAGAGGAUGAUCAGCCACACUGGGACUGAGACACGGCCCAGACUCCUACGGAGGGAGCAGUGGGGAAUAGUGCACAAUGGGCGCAAGCCUGAUGCAGCCAGGCCGCGUGUAUGAAGAAGGCCCUAGGGUUGUAAAGUACUUUCAGUCGGGAGGCGUUACCGACAGAGGAAGCACCGGCUAACGACGUGCCAGCAGCCGCGGUAAUAC